rnacentral:rRNA from 1 species
UACGAAGGGGGCUAGCGUUGUUCGGAAUUACUGGGCGUAAAGCGCGUGUAGGCGGCUAUGUAAGUCGGGCGUGAAACCCCACGGCUCAACCGUGGAAGUGCACCCGAAACUGCGUAGCUAGAGUCCUGGAGAGGAAGGUGGAAUGCUUGGUGUAGAGGUGAAAUUCGUAGAUAUCAAGCGGAACACCGGUGGCGAAGGCGGCCUUCUGGACAGUGACUGACGCUGAGACGCGAAAGCGUGGGGAGCAAACAGG